UUGAGUUGUACACAUAUGUAUUAAAGUAGGAAGAGACAAAGAAGAUUAGCAUGGUCCCCUGAGCAAGGAUGACAAGCAAAUUCAUGAAGUGUUCCAUAGCUUU